rnacentral:rRNA from 1 species
GACGUAGGGUGCGAGCGUUGUCCGGAUUUAUUGGGCGUAAAGAGCUCGUAGGCGGCUCGUCGCGUCAGCUGUGAAAACCCGCGGCUUAACCGUGGGCGUGCAGCUGAUACGGGCGGGCUAGAGUUCGGUAGGGGAGACUGGAAUUCCUGGUGUAGCGGUGAAAUGCGCAGAUAUCAGGAGGAACACCGGUGGCGAAGGCGGGUCUCUGGGCCGAUACUGACGCUGAGGAGCGAAAGCGUGGGGAGCGAACAGG